UGUAAACAGGAAAGAUGUGCACUGUCAAAAUGUCGUCUGCUAGAUGCGUGUGUUCAAACUCAAAAUGCUUUCACUGCAAACGCCGAUGGAUCGCAUUGCCCUGGACUGUUCAAGUCAUGGUGAUGAACUUAUCAAAUUCAAGGACUAGCAGUCUCACCAUUCAUCAAUUAUGAACUUCGUCGCUUGAAAUUAUAAUGAACACUCAAGAUGAUGACAAGCAUUGGUAUAAAAGAUGCGCCCGCCUGACUGAAGAGAGCCUGUGAGAUGCUGCCUCGUCAUGACUUCAAAUACGUCAUCUUCUCAGCGUCUCAAGCUAAUUCAGUUCACCUUUGUGAUUCAUUCAAUACUAAGAUGUUAAGGUGGUGUCCUGGCCGGGGCUCGAACCCGCACAGAUGUCUCCAGUGUAGUCCUCCGAAGCCGUCUCCCUAUCCGCUAGGCUAUGGCGUCUUCCGGGUUGGAAAAAAAUUUUUUGAGGUGGUAAACAUUAGAACGAAAUGUGACGUACACAUGUAUUAUACGCGUAUACACAGUAGCGAUUAG